rnacentral:rRNA from 1 species
AAUAGAUACCCCGGUAGUCCACGCCGUAAACGGUGGGCACUAGGUGUGGGCGACAUUCCACGUCGUCCGUGCCGCAGCUAACGCAUUAAGUGCCCCGCCUGGGGAGUACGGCCGCAAGGCUAAAACUCAAAGGAAUUGACGGGGGGCCCGCACAAGCGGCGGAGCAUGUGGCUUAAUUCGACGCAACGCGAAGAACCUUACCAAGGCUUGACAUACACCGGAAACGUCCAGAGAUGGGCGCCCCCUUGUGGUCGGUGUACAGGUGGUGCAUGGCUGUCGUCAGCUCGUGUCGUGAGAUGUUGGGUUAAGUCCCGCAACGAGCGCAACCCUUGUCCCGUGUUGCCAGCAGGCCCUUGUGGUGCUGGGGACUCACGGGAGACCGCCGGGGUUAACUCGGAGGAAGGUGGGGACGACGUCAAGUCAUCAUGCCCCUUAUGUCUUGGGCUGCACACGUGCUACAAUGGCCGGUACAAUGAGCUGCGAUACCGCGAGGUGGAGCGAAUCUCAAAAAGCCGGUCUCAGUUCGGAUUGGGGUCUGCAACGUCCG